ACGUAGGUGGCAAGCGUUAUCCGGAAUUAUUGGGCGUAAAGAGGGAGCAGGCGGCAGCAAAGGUCUGUGGUGAAAGACUGAAGCUUAACUUCAGUAAGCCAUAGAAACCGGGCAGCUAGAGUGCAGGAGAGGAUCGUGGAAUUCCAUGUGUAGCGGUGAAAUGCGUAGAUAUAUGGAGGAACACCAGUGGCGAAGGCGACGAUCUGGCCUGCAACUGACGCUCAGUCCCGAAAGCGUGGGGAGCAAAUAG
rnacentral:rRNA from 1 species